rnacentral:rRNA from 1 species
UACGGAGGGUGCAAGCGUUAUCCGGAUUCACUGGGUUUAAAGGGUGCGUAGGUGGGUAGGAAAGUCAGUGGUGAAAUCUUCGGGCUUAACCCGGAACUGCCAUUGAAUACUAUUUAUCUUGAAUACUUUGGAGGUAAGCGGAAUAUGUCAUGUAGCGGAUGAAAUGCUUAGAGUAAUGACAUAGAACACCAAUUGCGAAGGCAGCUUACUACACAGUUCAUUACACUGACGGCACGAAAGCGUGGGGAUCAA